GGUAUUGCCUCAGGCUGGGGGGCUAGUGUGGGGCAGUGGCCCUGGCAGGUCAGCAUCCGCCAGGGCUUGAUUCACGUCUGCUCAGAUACCCUCAUCUCAGAGGAGUGGGUGCUGACAGUGGCGAUCUGCCAUUUAUACUACCAGGAGAUGCUCAUACCUGUGUCCCAGAUUAUCCCCCCACCCUGAUUUCCAAGCAAACACAUCUAGUGCCAUCGCUGUGGUAGAACUGCCCUCCCCAGUUUCUGUUAGCCCUGUUGUCCUGCUCAUCUGCCUUCCCUCAUCUGAAGUCUACCUGAAGAAGAAUACAACCUCCUGCUGGGUGACUGGAUGGGGCCUGAAGGAGCUGAAAGUGCCCCUCAUUGAUCCCGUGAUGUGUCAAGUUGAAGAUUUCUAGGUCCUGGCAGGAGUGGUAAGCCAGGGAUCAAACUGCAUCCAAACCAGUGGGCCUGGAAUAUACACAAACAUCCAUUUCUACAAGUCUUGGAU
rnacentral:lncRNA from 1 species